AAGGCUUGACAUACACUGCGACAUGCCAGAGAUGGUGUGGCCUUCGGGGUGGUGUACAGGUGGUGCAUGGUU
rnacentral:rRNA from 1 species